rnacentral:rRNA from 1 species
GAGGAAUAUUGGUCAAUGGACGAGAGUCUGAACCAGCCAAAUCGCGUGAAGGAAGACUGCCCUACGGGUUGUAAACUUCUUUUGUACAGGAAUAAAAGACAUUACGUGUAAUGUAUUGCAUGUACUGUAGGAAUAAGCAUCGGCUAACUCCGUGCCAGCAGCCGCGGUAAUACGGAGGAUGCGAGCGUUAUCCGGAUUUAUUGGGUUUAAAGGGUGCGCAGGCGGGAUCUUAAGUCAGCGGUGAAAUUUUCAGGCUCAACCUGAACACUGCCGUUGAAACUGGGAUUCUUGAGUAUGGAUGAAGUAGGCGGAAUUCGUUGUGUAGCGGUGACAUGCUUAGAUAUAACGAGGAACUCCGAUUGCGUAGGCAGCUUACUAAGCCAUAACUGACGCUCAAGCACGAAAGCGUGGGGAUCAAACA